rnacentral:rRNA from 1 species
AUACGUAGGGUGCAAGCGUUAAUCGGAAUUACUGGGCGUAAAGCGUGCGCAGGCGGUUUUGUAAGACAGUGGUGAAAUCCCCGGGCUCAACCUGGGAACUGCCAUUGUGACUGAAAGGGUGGAGGGCGGCAGAGGGGGAUGGAAUUCCGCGUGUAGCAGUGAAAUGCGUAGAUAUGCGGAGGAACACCGAUGGCGAAGGCAAUCCCCUGGGCCUAUACUGACGCUCAUGCACGAAAGCGGGGUGAGCAAACAGGAUUAGAUACCCUGGUAGUCCACGCCCUAAACGAUGUCAACUGGUUGUUGGGUCUUCAUUGACUCAGUAACGAAGCUAACGCGUGAAGUUGACCGCCUGGGGAGUACGGCCGCAAGGUUGAAACUCAAAUGAAUUGACGGGG